UACAGAGGGUGCGAGCGUUGUCCGGAAUCACUGGGCGUAAAGGGCGCGUAGGUGGCGGCCCAAGUCCAUGGUGAAAGCUCGAUGCUCAACAUCGAGUCGGCCACGGAUACUGGGUUGCUCGAGCACUGUAGGGGCAGAUGGAAUUCCGGGUGUAGCGGUGGAAUGCGUAGAGAUCCGGAAGAACACCGGUGGCGAAGGCGGUCUGCUGGGCAGUUGCUGACACUGAGGCGCGACAGCGUGGGGAGCAACAGG
rnacentral:rRNA from 1 species